GUAGGCUGAUAGUUUAAAAAUAUCGUUAAAGGCUGUUGAUGCACAACUUCACUCGAUAUUCACUUGCUAUUUGGGUUUUGAGGGCGAGUUUCGAAUCCUUUCAGUAAGGGUAAAAUCUGUUAAUAAUUAGGAGACGUUCGAGGCGGAAGCAAUUCUUCGACUCAAAUCCGACGCUAAGGUACGAAAGCGUGGGGAUCAAAUAGGAUUAGAGACCCUAGUAAUCCAGCCGUAAACGAUGAGUGUUCAACAUUUUUUUAUGGUACAUCUUUUAAUAAGAUGAAAUACUUCGUGGAAAAUGGUUUGAAGUAACGCGUAAAACACUCCGCUGGGGAAUGUGGCCGCAAGGUUAAACUCAAAGGAAUUGACGGAGACUUGUACAAGG
rnacentral:rRNA from 1 species